GACGAGGGGUCCUAGCGUUGUUCGGAAUCACUGGGCGUAAAGCGCACGUAGGCGGAUGUGUCAGUCAGGGGUGAAAUCCCGGAGCUCAACUUCGGAACUGCCUUUGAUACAGCACGUCUUGAGUCCGGAAGAGGUGGGUGGAAUUCCUAGUGUAGAGGUGAAAUUCGUAGAUAUUAGGAAGAACACCGGUGGCGAAGGCGGCCCACUGGUCCGGUACUGACGCUGAGGUGCGAAAGCAUGGGGAGCAAACAGG
rnacentral:rRNA from 1 species